rnacentral:hammerhead_ribozyme from 1 species
ACCCAGUGCUGAUGAAUUCCAAACAGAACGAAAUGCGCAUCCUGGAU